rnacentral:lncRNA from 1 species
CUGGGACACAAGGGAAGCAUUAACUUGGGCAGUAUCCCUUUCAGAGGCUUAAUUUAGUUUUUUCUUCCCUUUAAUUGUGUGAUUCCAGUAUUUUAGCUACAAUCCCUAGGCUGUAGGAACCUUUAAACAGUUCUUUUUAUAAAAGAAGGCAUGGGCUUUUGAAGAAUAAACAGGGGGCUGCAUAAUUUAUAGGAAAAUGGCACGAUGGACUUUUCCUUCACAAAGAACAUUGGGGUUACAUUGGAACAAGCCAAAUACCUUUUUAAUGAAUAGUCAGUAAUCAGCAGCAGCUACACUCAUGCCAUUACGUUUCUCAUAUUUGGAGGAACAGCAGAGGUUAUUCCUACAAGACACAAAAGCUAAACUACCAUGGAACCACCUUCCUGACCAAGGUACCUCCCUGCUCAUAGCUGUCAGGCUGUUUACAAUCAUCUUGGCUUUGAUGUCUGUCAAGAAUCCACACACAGAGAGAAGGUUGGGCGACCUGCUUGACAUGGUACCUCUUUGUGGAUACAAAGUGACUGACUUAACCAAGCAGAAGAGCAUGUUAGACAACGUGACAUGGAGUAGAAGACACACACUCAUCUGGUCUGAACCGUGGCUGAUUUUGGGUGUUAAAGGACAGUGUACACUUCUAUUCAGUUGUAUUUCUCAGAUACUUGCCCUCGAGGAGGGCCUCAGAUCUCAGGUGCUCUUUCUUUUACUAUCUAAGUUUGGAAUAAUCUCAAAUAGACCUGUGAGUAACUUCAGUUUUUCUUAUUAGUGAGUUUCCUGUAGCUUUGAUUCAGUGUCUUGAAAAUGUGCAGUCUACUGGGCUUUCUUGAACAUACUGAGCACAUCCAUGUUCCUCAAUUCUUCACAGCCCUGUUUGGAAGCACUGGUUAUAGUUUAUUUUUUAAUUCCAAGGAUUGUCACAAUUGUUGGCACUCAGUAAAAUUAAAUAACACCCAGGGGCAGUGAUGAGUCCUUAAACAGGACUCCUAAGACCUGCAUGCCUCAGGAUGUGUCCUCUGGGCAGCUGCUGGCUUGUCAUUGCUAACUUGAAGAAAACGGCACCCUGCUUCUCAGCAGCAGCUCCUGAGGGGCCAGGCUGUGCAGCGAAUCCCCACUUUCCCAGGAUCAUGGCUGCUGCUGGCCAUGAAAAGAUGUCUCUUAGGGUGGACAACUUUUAUCUUCUUGUGCUGUCAGUCAUGCAUUCCCGCCCAGUGA